UACGUAGGGUGCAAGCGUUAUCCGGAAUUAUUGGGCGUAAAGAGCUCGUAGGCGGUUUGUCGCGUCUGCCGUGAAAGUCCGGGCUCAACUCCGGAUCUGCGGUGGGUACGGGCAGACUAGAGUGAUGUAGGGGAGACUGGAAUUCCUGGUGUAGCGGUGAAAUGCGCAGAUAUCAGGAGGAACACCGAUGGCGAAGGCAGGUCUCCUGGGCAUUAACUGACGCUGAGGAGCGAAAGCAUGGGGAGCGAACAGG
rnacentral:rRNA from 1 species